rnacentral:rRNA from 1 species
GGAAUUUUGGACAAUGGGCGAAAGCCUGAUCCAGCAAUGCCGCGUGAGUGAAGAAGGCCUUCGGGUUGUAAAGCUCUUUUGUCAGGGAAGAAACGGUCGUGGCUAAUAUCCAUGGCUAAUGACGGUACCUGAAGAAGAAGCACCAGCUAACUACGUGACAGCAGCCGCGGUAAUACGUAGGGUGCAAGCGUUAAUCGGAAUUACUGGGCGGAAAGCGUGCGCAGGCGGUGUUGUAAGUCUGAUGUGAAAUCCCCGGGCUCAACCUGGGAAUUGCAUUGGAGACUGCAAGGCUAGAAUCUGGCAGAGGGGGGUAGAAUUCCACGUGUAGCAGUGAAAUGCGUAGAGAUGUGGAGGGACACCGAUGGCGAAGGCAGCCCCCUGGGUCAAGAUUGACGCUCAUGCACGAAAGCGUGGGGAGCAAAC